CCAACCCAAUGUGAACGUUACCAAACUGUUGCCUCGGCGGGAUCUCUGCCCCGGGUGCGUCGCAGCCCCGGACCAAGGCGCCCGCCGGAGGACCAACCAAAACUCUUAUUGUAUACCCCCUCGCGGGUUUUUUUAUAAUCUGAGCCUUCUCGGCGCCCCUCGUGGGCGUUUCGAAAAUGAAUCAAAACUUUCAACAACGGAUCUCUUGGUUCUGGCAUCGAUGAAGAACGCAGCGAAAUGCGAUAAGUAAUGUGAAUUGCAGAAUUCAGUGAAUCAUCGAAUCUUUGAACGCACAUUGCGCCCGCCAGUAUUCUGGCGGGCAUGCCUGUCCGAGCGUCAUUUCAACCCUCGAACCCCUCCGGGGGGUCGGCGUUGGGGAUCGGCCCUCCCUCUGCGGGGGCCGUCUCCGAAAUACAGUGGCGGUCUCGCCGCAGCCUCUCCUGCGCAGUAGUUUGCACACUCGCACCGGGAGCGCGGCGCGUCCACAGCCGUUAAACACCCAACUUUCUGAAAUGUUGACCUCGGAUCAGGUAGGAAUACCCGCUGAACUUAAGCAUAUCA
rnacentral:rRNA from 1 species